rnacentral:rRNA from 1 species
CACGUAGGGGGCAAGCGUUGUCCGGAUUUAUUGGGCGUAAAGAGCUCGUAGGUGGUUCGGUAAGUCGGGUGUUAAACCCCCAGGCUCAACCUGGGGACGCCACUCGAUACUGCUGUGACUAGAGUCCGGUAGGGGAGCGUGGAAUUCCUGGUGUAGCGGUGAAAUGCGCAGAUAUCAGGAGGAACACCAGCGGCGAAGGCGGCGCUCUGGGCCGGUACUGACACUGAGGCACGAAGGUCAGGGGAGCAAACGGG